rnacentral:rRNA from 1 species
UACGUAGGGGGCAAGCGUUGUCCGGAAUUAUUGGGCGUAAAGAGCUCGUAGGCGGUGUGUCACGUCGUUCGUGAAAACCUGCAGCUUAACUGUGGGCGUGCGGGCGAUACGGGCAGACUGGAGUACUGCAGGGGAGACUGGAAUUCCUGGUGUAGCGGUGGAAUGCGCAGAUAUCAGGAGGAACACCGGUGGCGAAGGCGGGUCUCUGGGCAGUAACUGACGCUGAGGAGCGAAAGCGUGGGGAGCGAACAGG